GCAUUCCUUCANGCCACGCGCGCGUUUNGCUCCCUCACACUGGGCGGUUGGUUUUUCACGCUCUCUCACUCCUGGCCGGUCGUUUUCCUCACUUGCCGUCGCCGGCGGCCCGCCCGGUGGCGCGUGGGGCGGGUGCGCUCUCCUCUCCUCGUCGGGGGGCUUCACACGCUUCAGGGGGUCUCACACUUCUUCACGACCCUUCNCAUUCACCCGCUCAUUCACGUCACCCUUCACGGGUGGUCNCGNCAGCCCCAGGGGUCAUCUCUCGGUCACUCCUUUGCGCGAUCAUUGUCACAUCGUCAGCCCCGUCAUGGUCGGGUCAUUUUCAGCUUCAGUUUGGCGGGGUUCACACAGGACCGCUCACCUCACNGGUCGUCACGUCAUUCCCGUUUCCCAGGCCUUGGUCCUUUCGGUUCAGCUCAGGUCAUGUCAUUCCUCGAGGCGCCUCGACGUCUCACUUGGGGGUCCUCCACCCUUGUCCAGUCACCUCACCGUGGGUUCCCCAAGUCAACUUUCCCCCUUUUCANCGGCGGAGGGUUCAGGCGGGCUCCAGCUCCAGNNUGGGGAGGUCACAUUUCCAUUUGGGGGCNACUCCUNCAUUGGGGGGCCGGCCUCUCAGGGCCCCCUUUGGUCAUUCCCGUCCAGGUCUCCUNCAUUUCNACCCCUGGUCCGGCUACGGGGGGCNUUGGUCCACAGUUCCAACANGAGGCGGCCUUCUGCCGCGAGGGGGCAUUCUUUGGGUUUCACCACGAGGCCGCCGCUGUUCUUUUUACCGGGGUCUUGGGGGGGGUCCAUCAUCANGGCUACAUCAUUGCGCCUCAAGGCCCCUGGUGGGCCUUUCAACAUUUCCAACCGCCCUUCGCAGGGCUUCAUGGGGCGGGAGGUUCAAUUCUGUCACCCGGGGAGUUUCCACCCGCCGGCCAACNCCAGGGNCAUCCAUUCCNNCAGGGCCGUCUACCGCCCGGAUGGCCUUUUCAUCCACUUUUCGCGGUGUGUGUC
rnacentral:rRNA from 1 species